rnacentral:rRNA from 1 species
AUACGGAGGGUGCAAGCGUUGUUCGGAAUCACUGGGCGUAAAGGGCGCGCAGGCGGUUUGGUAAGUCAGAUGUGAAAGCCCAUGGCUCAACCAUGGAAGUGCAUUUGAAACUGUCAGACUUGAGUACUGGAGGGGAAAGUGGAAUUCCCGGUGUAGAGGUGAAAUUCGUAGAUAUCGGGAGGAAUACCGGUGGCGAAGGCGACUUUCUGGCUAGAUACUGACGCUGAGGCGCGAAAGCGUGGGGAGCAAACAGAAUUAGAUACCCCGGUAGUCC